AUGGACGCUCCCUAUUCAAAUAGAGUGGUGUAUAAACAGCAUGUUCUUGGCUGCUCUAGUGUCCACAGAACUCAGGGAAGGAUUAUUUUAGGACAGUGUAUUUUAUUGCUACUCAUUUCAUAUUCUUAUGGACAGUCCCUGACCUCCUCUGAUUCUGUGGUGAAGAGACCUGGACAGUCGGUCACUCUGUCUUGUACUGUCUCCGGUUUCUCAAUGGGCAGCUACAACAUGCACUGGAUCCGUGAGAAACCAGGACAAGGACUGGAGUGGAUCGGGCGCAUUGACACUGGCACUGGCACUGCAUUCGCUCAGUCUCUACAGGGCCAGUUCUCCAUCAAUAAAGACACCAAUAAAAACUUGCUGUACCUAGAAGUGAAGAGUCUGAAAGCUGAAGACACGGCAGUUUAUUACUGUGCACGAGAGUCACACUGACACAACAGGCUCCAGAGCUGUACAAAAACUUACACAAGCACGUCCUCAUAAGCUGUAAAUUUUCCCUCAAC